AAGGGAAAGGGAAGAGAUUGAGAAGAAAUAACUUUAAAGGUUCUCCUAACGAUCCUCAAUAGGAUUUUCGGGUCUUUCGUCUGACGUUCCUUUAGUUCUAUAUUUUCCGGGUUCUUAGUUUCUGAUAGCAGUUGGACUUUGUUGAGUGUUCCUACUUCUUCAGUUUUGGGUUCUCCUAACGAUCCUCAAUAGGAUUUUCGGGUCUUUCGUCUGACGUUCCUUUAGUUCUAUAUUUUCCGGGUUCUUAGUUUCUGAUAGCAGUUGGACUUUGUUGAGUGUUCCUACUUCUUCAGUUUUGGGUCGGUAUGCCUUGCUUAUUGUUCAAGGUUGUUUUGAUUCGAAGUCUUAGACGCUCCACUAUUACUCUGUUUUAAUUAAGUUUGGAUUUUGACAAUGUAAUGAGUAUUAUGAAUUAUUAUUUUGUUUUAAUUACUGAUGAAGAGUUUUGACUAUCCUUUGAUUUCAUCAGCUUUGAGUAAUAUAAUAUUUCUGAAGAUUAUGAAAUGCUGCGUAUUUUUGAAUAUCUAUUAUUUUGAUAUGUAUGUUUUGAGGCUUAGCGUAGGUGGGGUGUCCUUUCGACACUCCUCCUGCGUUGCCGGUCAUGGACCCGGGAUUCGGGUCGUGACAUAUUCAGACAU